rnacentral:rRNA from 2 species
UGAGACCUGAUGCCGAGCCGAUUGUGGUGAAGUGGAUGAUCCUAUGCUGUCGAGAAAAGCCUCUAGCGAGUUUCAUGGCGGCCCGUACCCUAAACCGACUCAGGUGGUCAGGUAGAGAAUACCGAGGCGUUCGGGUGAACUAUGGUUAAGGAACUCGGCAAAAUGCCCCCGUAACUUCGGGAGAAGGGGGGCCACGGCUGGUGAUCACCCUUGCGGUGUGAGCUGGUGGUGGCCGCAGAGACCAGCGAGAAGCGACUGUUUACUAAAAACACAGGUCCGUGCGAAGCCGUAAGGCGAUGUAUACGGACUGACGCCUGCCCGGUGCUGGAACGUUAAGGGGACCGGUUAGCUCCAUUUCGGUGGGGCGAAGCUGAGAACUUAAGCGCCAGUAAACGGCGGUGGUAACUAUAACCAUCCUAAGGUAGCGAAAUUCCUUGUCGGGUAAGUUCCGACCUGCACGAAUGGCGUAACGACUUCUCGACUGUCUCAACCAUAGGCCCGGUGAAAUUGCACUACGAGUAAAGAUGCUCGUUUCGCGCAGCAGGACGGAAAGACCCCGGGACCUUUACUAUAGCUUGAUAUUGGUGUUUGGUUCGGCUUGUGUAGGAUAGGUGGGAGACUGUGAAGCCGUGACGCCAGUCAUGGUGGAGUCGUUGUUGAAAUACCACUCUGGUCGUGCUGGAUGUCUAACCUGGGUCCGUGAUCCGGAUCAGGGACAGUGUCUGGUGGGUAGUUUAACUGGGGCGGUUGCCUCCUAAAGGGUAACGGAGGCGCCCAAAGGUUCCCUCAGCCUGGUUGGCAAUCAGGUGUUGAGUGUAAGUGCACAAGGGAGCUUGACUGUGAGACUGACGGGUCGAGCAGGUACGAAAGUAGGGACUAGUGAUCCGGCGGUGGCUUGUGGAAGCGCCGUCGCUCAACGGAUAAAAGGUACCCCGGGGAUAACAGGCUGAUCUUCCCCAAGAGUCCAUAUCGACGGGAUGGUUUGGCACCUCGAUGUCGGCUCGUCGCAUCCUGGGGCUGGAGUCGGUCCCAAGGGUUGGGCUGUUCGCCCAUUAAAGCGGUACGCGAGCUGGGUUUAGAACGUCGUGAGACAGUUCGGUCCCUAUCCGCUGUGCGCGUAGGAGUCUUGAGAAGGGCUGUCCCUAGUACGAGAGGACCGGGACGGACGAACCUCUGGUGUGCCAGUUGUUCUGCCAAGGGCAUGGCUGGUUGGCUACGUUCGGAAAGGAUAACCGCUGAAAGCAUCUAAGCGGGAAGCCUGCUUCGAGAUGAGGGCUCCCUCCCACUUGAUGGGGUAAGGCUCCCAGUAGACGACUGGGUUGAUAGGCCAGAUAUGGAAGACCGGUAACGGUUGGAGUUGACUGGUACUAAUAGGCCGAGGGCUUGUCCUCAGUUG